CCUACGGUGAGCAGCAGUGGGGAAUAUUGGACAAUGGGCGAAAGCCUGAUCCAGCCAUGCCGCGUGUGUGAAGAAGGCCUUCGGGUUGUAAAGCACUUUCAGUGGGGAAGAAAGCCUUGGGGCUAAUACCCUCGAGGAAGGACAUCACCCACAGAAGAAGCACCGGCUAACUCCUUGCCAGCAGCCGCGGUAAUACGGAGGGUGCGAGCGUUAAUCGGAAUUACUGGGCGUAAAGCGCGCGUAGGCGGUCUGAUAAGCCGGUUGUGAAAGCCCCGGGCUCAACCUGGGAACGGCAUCCGGAACUGUCAGGCUAGAGUGCAGGAGAGGAAGGUAGAAUUCCCGGUGUAGCGGUGAAAUGCGUAGAGAUCGGGAGGAAUACCAGUGGCGAAGGCGGCCUUCUGGACUGACACUGACGCUGAGGUGCGAAAGCGUGGGUAGCAAACAGGAUUAGAUACCCGAGUAGUC
rnacentral:rRNA from 1 species